UUUUACAACGUCGGGCUGCUUCCCCCUGUGCUCAGGGAGUUGCCUCUCUGGCUGCUGCUUAGAGUGGACUGGAAUUGACUUGUCUGACUGCUCUUUUUGAGGGCAUUAUCUCCAGUCCCUGAAGGCAAGAAAAGUGGCCAGAAUGAAGCACAUCCGAGAAUGAAAAAGAGAAGGUCACCACGAAAAGCUUCAGCAGCAAACCAGUGAACUAGCUGCAGAUGAAAGGGAAUUCCAGUCUGACUCAUCAUGGGAUCAAGUUGUUUCCCAGGCAUUCGCCCCAUGUGUGGACUGCAGGGAUAAUGUGUCUCUGGACAGAAGUCUCUCUCGUUUGACUGCUGUGGAUUCCCGCAGACUCUAGAACACCAGUCUCCCUCCUCUCCUGGCCAUCCUGCAGGGAGCCACCCUUGUAGUCUUUCUAGAACCCACAUGUCAUGCUCAUGCUGAAUAACACCCAUGAGUUCUCCAGUGUCAUCAAGAUGAAAUCCAAGCUCCAGUGCAUGGCCCUCUGCCCUCCGGACCGGGCCUGACUCUCCUCCUUUCUCUCCCCACAUCAAUCCAGGGCUCCCUGGAAUCACCAUGCUGCUUUUGUCUUUCUGCCUCAGCCUGGGCUGCAGCUUUAGCCAGGACACGUUCUCUGCCUUUUUCUUAUUCAUUUACCAGGAAAACUUCUAGUUUCCUUGAAGACUCACUUCAAGGCUCUCUUUCUCCUGGAAACUUGGUUUCCUCCCAGACAGAAUUCACUGCUCUUCGUCUGAGAUCCUGUAACACCUUACACAUAUCACCAUCUUGGCUCCAACCUCCUGGCUUUGUAAUUAUUCCUGAUUUGUCUCUCCCAGUAGCCCACUAUCCUCAAGGAGAAGGCCGAGGCUUAUUCUUGGUUGAGUUCCCAGUUACAUGUUAACGUGUGAAUGAGUGAAUGAAUGCACCUUGAAUGCCUCCAUCCUUUCCAAAGACAUUGGAAAUGUCUCUCCUCUGAGAGAAUUCUUGCCUCACGUGUGAAUCAGAGCCUGACAAAUCAUUUAUUUCUUCGGCCUGGCAUCCUACCUACCGAAUGGCAUGGGCUUGCUCUUGCAGCCCCAAGCAGAAGCUCUUUUGUCCACACUUCCUUUCUUGUUGUUUUAGCUUCCUUUCCCUUCACUGCUAGACUGUGAGCUUUUUAAGGGCGGGGCCACAUCCUGCUCAUUUACACCCUUGCGUCCCAGCAUCUAGCCUGGUGACAGAGCAGAACGUGGCUCUCCUUCAGACCAAGCUUACUCUCGUCUUUAAAUUGUUGCAGAAGGACAAGGGAGCAGACUAAAAGGAGCCAGAGAUGAAAUGGUACGCUUGCCUCUUCCAUCAUCAGAUGUUGUGAACUGACAACGUAAAUAUUCAGGCACCUCCAGCAUCUCUUGCCCAGCUGCUCUCUGCCUAGUGCAGGUGACCCAGUCCAACUCCUCUCAAUUUGCCUGCCUUUCCGCUCUCUCUUUCAUCUUCUUCUUCCUUUUCUAAAAGCAGGCACUGCAAUAAAUUAAACUUUCAUGGUUCCAUUCCCUCUUUUCCCAUUGAGGAACCCUAACAUAUUUCCUUAAGGAAAUACUUUGGAAAUUGUAAUUGAAACACAAUAAUUCAUAACGGAAGCGGGAGGAGGAGAGUAAUAGAUUUAGCUCUUGUUUCUGGUGGCAGACAUGUUAAUUACAUUUUCUAUUUCCUCUCAUUACCAGGGAGCAUGUCUCCAACAGGCCAGCCUGCUACUCUCCCUCCUCUCCAGCCAGCCCCACCCUGCUUCACACCCUCAGUGGGCCUGGAGGCAAGUGGAAUGCACAACUGACCAUGUCACUGUUUUGUUCUGAGCUCCUUGGAAGAGUUACAACCCAGCAACUCAGGUCCAGUUUCCUUAGUGGGAAUCAGAGAGCCCCAAACUCUACUCUCCUACCUUAAGGGACAGCCAGACUGAGAUCUCUGAAUUCACAUAGCCUCUUCUUGCUUCUGGGAGUCUCCAUAUGCCACCGAGGCCCCCGUUUCCCCUGGAGUGAGUCAGGAGGACCACUACUGCCUACCUGCUUGUGCAUCUGCCAGUAACACCUGCUCCCCUAUCUGUCCUGUCUCACUGCCCUUUCUAGUAACAUUGCCUCGGCCGGAGAAGGCAGAAUGUGUGGCUCCUGACUCCUCUGCAUUCCUGUUGUCCCUUUCACACUCAUGAUGCCAUAGUAUGAUUGUCUUUUACUCUCCAUCUCUUUAUCCCCUGCCUCAACCCCUCCCAGUGACACACAAAAAAGUAUGAGAAACUGGAAGCAUUGGGAGGGCAGGGCAUUUAUCAGGAAAUUUAUCAAUUUCUGAACUAUGUAGUACAGUGCCUGGUUCAGAACAAAUUCUCAACAAAAUAUUUGAAUAAUGUACGUCUAGGCAGACUUCUUGGAUCGAGACUCUCUGACUAGUGGGUGGGGAGUGGAGUCCUCAGGGUCCUUUUCUGCUGACAUAAAUCUUCUCUGCGUAGUAAAUCCUAGAGCAAGUGUACUUUCUGCAGCUUAGCUGCACAGUCAUGUCAGUGCCUGAGCCAAAAGAAACGAUGGAAAAAUGUGUGCCCCAUACAUACUUAUGAAAAUAUUCUACCAUAUUUUGAUCCAUAUAGAAAAAGCUAAAAAAGAUUUGAAAUUUUAUGAAAAUGACUUUACAAAAGCCCUGUAUUGUCCAGUCUGUUCUUGCGCCGUGCUUAACCCUCCUCCUAAGCUCACCCAGGAGGGACUGUGAGGACCACGAAGCCUUGGAACCAUGGACUGACGAGAAAUGAUUGUUCCCACUGCACAAUGAGG
rnacentral:lncRNA from 1 species